CCUACGGGCGGCAGCAGUGAGGAAUAUUGGUCAAUGGACGAGAGUCUGAACCAGCCAAGUAGCGUGAAGGAUGACGGCCCUAUGGGUUGUAAACUUCUUUUAUAGGGGAAUAAAAUGUGCCACGUGUGGGAGGUUGUAUGUACCAUAUGAAUAAGGAUCGACUAACUCCGUGCCAGCAGCCGCGGUAAUACGGAGGAUCCGAGCGUUAUCCGGAUUUAUUGGGUUGAAAGGGAGAGUAGGUGGAUUGUUAAGUCAGUUGUGAAAGUGUGCGGCUCAACCGUAAAAUUGCAGUUGAAACUGGCAGUCUUGAGUACAGUAGCGGUGGGCGGCCUUCGUGGUGUAGCGGU
rnacentral:rRNA from 1 species